CUUCCGUUACCUAGAAAUAGCUAAGGCCUUCAGGGCAGAGCUGGCUCAUUUGCUGAGAGUUUCAUCUAAGUGUUCUCAACCAAUGAGUGCCUCCCUGCACGGCCAAACAUCUCUCACAGCAGCAAGAUUCUGGCUAAAGAGGAGGUUCCAGAGAGCAUCAGAUGCACUCCAGGCAAGUAGUGGCAUCAUCACUAUUUUCAAUAUUAAUAAUUUUUUGCCAUAGGAUAAUUUGGGGGAAAUGUUCUGUGUGUCUAAUUCACAAUUAAAGGCCCA